CGCAGCCGCGGUAAUUCCAGCUCCAAUAGCGUAUAUUAAAGUUGUUGCAGUUAAAAAGCUCGUAGUUGAAUUUUGGGAUUGACGUGAUGGUCAUGCCUUAAGGGGUAUGAACUGUUACAGUUGAUUUCUCACCUUCUGGAGAAACUUGAUGUCCUUUAUUGGGUGUCUUGCGGAUCCAGGACCUUUACCUUGAAAAAUUAGAGUGUUUAAAGCAGGCAUUUUUGCUCGAAUACAUUAGCAUGGAAUAAUAGAAUAGGACGGCAUGGUUCUAUUUUGUUGGUUUCUAGGAUCACCGUAAUGAUUAAUAGGGAUAGUUGGGGGCAUUAGUAUUCAAUUGUCAGAGGUGAAAUUCUUGGAUUUAUUGAAGACUAACUGCUGCGAAAGCAUUUGCCAAGGAUGUUUUCAUUAAUCAAGAACGAAAGUUAGGGGAUCGAAGACGAUCAGAUACCGUCGUAGUCUUAACCAUAAACUAUGCCGACUAGGAAUCAGACGAUGUUAAUUUUUAAUGACUCGUUUC
rnacentral:rRNA from 1 species